rnacentral:misc_RNA from 1 species
GAUGAAGAACGUAGCGAAAUGCGAUAAGUAGUGUGAAUUGCAGAAUUCAGUGAAUCAUCGAAUCUUUGAACGCACAUUGCGCCCCUUGGUAUCCCGGGGGGCAUGCCUGUUCGAGCGUCAUUUCACCACUCAAGCCUGGCUUGGUGUUGGGCGACGUCCCCUUUGGGGACGCGCCUCGAAACGCUCGGCGGCGUGGCACCGGCUUUAAGCGUAGCAGAAUCUUUCGCUUUGGAAGUCGGGGCCCCGUCUGCCGGAAGACCUACUCGCAAGGUUGACCUCGGAUCAGGCAGGGAUACCCGCUGAACUUAAGCAUAUCAAUAAGCGGAGGA